rnacentral:rRNA from 1 species
CCUACGGGAGGCAGCAGUGGGGAAUAUUGGGCAAUGGGCGCAAGCCUGACCCAGCAACGCCGCGUGAAGGAAGAAGGCUCUCGGGUUGUAAACUUCUUUUAUCAGGGACGAAGCAAGUGACGGUACCUGAUGAAUAAGCCACGGCUAACUACGUGCCAGCAGCCGCGGUAAUACGUAGGUGGCAAGCGUUAUCCGGAUUUACUGGGUGUAAAGGGCGUGGAGGCGGGAAAGCAAGUCAGAUGUGAAAGCCAUGGGCUCAACCUGUGGCCUGCAUUUGAAACUGUUUUUCUUGAGUACUGGAGAGGCAGACGGAAUUCCAAGUGUAGCGGUGAAAUGCGCAGAUAUAAGGAGGAACACCAGUGGCGAAGGCGGUCUGCUGGACAGCAACUGACGCUGAGGCGCGAAAGCGUGGGGAGCAAACAGGAUUAGAUACCCGAGUAGUC